rnacentral:rRNA from 1 species
GAUGAACGCUGGCGGCGUGCCUAAUACAUGCAAGUCGAGCGAACAGACGAGGAGCUUGCUCCUCUGACGUUAGCGGCGGACGGGUGAGUAACACGUGGAUAACCUACCUAUAAGACUGGGAUAACUUCGGGAAACCGGAGCUAAUACCGGAUAAUAUAUUGAACCGCAUGGUUCAAUAGUGAAAGACGGUUUUGCUGUCACUUAUAGAUGGAUCCGCGCCGCAUUAGCUAGUUGGUAAGGUAACGGCUUACCAAGGCGACGAUGCGUAGCCGACCUGAGAGGGUGGUCGGCCACACUGGAACUGAGACACGGUCCAGACUCCUACGGGAGGCAGCAGUAGGGAAUCUUCCGCAAUGGGCGAAAGCCUGACGGAGCAACGCCGCGUGAGUGAUGAAGGUCUUCGGAUCGUAAAACUCUGUUAUUAGGGAAGAACAAAUGUGUAAGUAACUAUGCACGUCUUGACGGUACCUACUCAGAAAGCCACGGCUAACUACGUG